CUUUGGCGUCGAAAGCCAAAUAAAAUCGAUACUAAGAAGGUAUCCCUUACAAGUAAGAUCACAGUUAAAGGAGAUUACUAUCUCCCAAAACUUAGAUGGGAUACCUUUAUUUAAAAGUUCUGGUAGUCAACAGAUCUAAACCGUUGGCAAGCACUCAUAACGUCGUAGCCAGCACCAGUUCUGGUGGGAAGCCUAGAUACUCUCUCUUCGACUUUCUAAGACUACGGCCUCAGAGCACCCUGACAGUGCUAUCAAAAUGGAUCGUUAAGAAGUCAUCUUUGAAAGGCAAAGAAAAAGAGUUAAUUCAGGACUUCAACAAGAAGGAGGCAGAUUGUUCAUUUGUGUGCUGGUAUCCGCCGCAGCAGGAUUAUGAUUGCAAACGAAUCGCCACACUCGUCAAAAACGACAGCAACCCUGGACCACAUUGGCUGCCUGAACCAGGAGUCAUCUUUGGCCAAUACAAAACUUAUGAGGAGUGCCAACACGUCGUCGACGAAAUGGUAUCAAGUGAAAAUGUCGAAAGUCAGGCUUUGGCGAUGUUGCGGCAAUGUGAUAAGGAACAAAAAAGGAAGGCAAGAACGAUGGAAACAAAUGCAGAAGAAAC